rnacentral:lncRNA from 1 species
CACUGAACGUGACCAACUCUGAAGCACUUUACUGUCAAGAGUUACUCCGAAAGGAUAUGGGUAUAAGUGUUCCUCUGAUCUAAAAUCACCACGGUGACUUGCAAGCAACUCACUGUGUUUUGGUACCGGACUACCUGAAUUUCUAAUUCAGGAUCGAAAGGUUUUGGGCAUAGUCAAGUACCUGUGAAGUCGGUGCGUG